GCAUGGUCGAUUCUCAGUAACCCAUAUUAUAGUGCAGUAUGCGGAACACGUAAUAAAGUGGGUCGGGCUGGUUAACACAGACCGACUUUACAUUUUGUCUUGAUAUUUUUACAGUAGUCUUAGUCAGUGUUGUAACAAGUCGAGUCAUUGACUCGGACUCGAGUCGCUAUUUUCAGCGACUCGAGUCCAAAACGAAAAAUGAUUCGACUCGAGUCAACAGCCCCAAAUGACUCGACUAUGGUAGGCGGAAUGGUGCAAUAUUCAACAACCUUUAUUUAUAUUCAACAAAGUUCAUUUAUAUUCAACAAAC